UUCAGUUUAACAAGUCUUAUGGAUGAUGGAGAAGACUGUAUUCCUUACUGGUUUCCACGUUGGAUUAAGUUGGAUCAAGUUGAAUCGGACACGUUUGUUAUACUAUGAACUUGUGAUGUCGCAUUAGUCAAUAGGAAAUGAUUGGUUAUGCUUGGACUUAUAUACUCUCUAACUCUCUCUGAUUGGUUCUUUCUUUUAACAGUUUUUCUUUGCUGCUAUGGAGUUAGUAAAGAAAGUUAAGGC